GACGAACGCUGGCGGCGUGCUUAACACAUGCAAGUCGAACGGAAAGGCCCUGCUUUUGUGGGGUGCUCGAGUGGCGAACGGGUGAGUAACACGUGAGUAACCUGCCCUUGACUUUGGGAUAACUUCAGGAAACUGGGGCUAAUACCGGAUAGGAGCUCCUGCUGCAUGGUGGGGGUUGGAAAGUUUCGGCGGUUGGGGAUGGACUCGCGGCUUAUCAGCUUGUUGGUGGGGUAGUGGCUUACCAAGGCUUUGACGGGUAGCCGGCCUGAGAGGGUGACCGGCCACAUUGGGACUGAGAUACGGCAGACUCCUACGGGAGGCAGCAGUGGGGAAUAUUGCACAAUGGGCGGAAGCCUGAAGCAGCAACGCCGCGUGCGGGAUGACGGCCUUCGGGUUGUAAACCGCUUUCGCCUGUGACGAAGCGUGAGUGACGGUAAUGGGUAAAGAAGCACCGGCUAACUACGUG
rnacentral:rRNA from 1 species